rnacentral:rRNA from 1 species
UAGAGUUUGAUCCUGGCUCAGAUUGAACGCUGGCGGCAUGCCUUACACAUGCAAGUCGAACGGCAGCACGGGUGCUUGCGCCUGGUGGCGAGUGGCGAACGGGUGAGUAAUACAUCGGAACGUACCCAGGAGUGGGGGAUAACGUAGCGAAAGUUACGCUAAUACCGCAUAUUCUGUGAGCAGGAAAGCGGGGGAUCGCAAGACCUCGCGCUCUUGGAGCGGCCGAUGUCGGAUUAGCUAGUUGGUGAGGUAAAGGCUCACCAAGGCGACGAUCCGUAGCAGGUCUGAGAGGAUGAUCUGCCACACUGGGACUGAGACACGGCCCAGACUCCUACGGGAGGCAGCAGUGGGGAAUUUUGGACAAUGGGGGCAACCCUGAUCCAGCCAUGCCGCGUGAGUGAAGAAGGCCUUCGGGUUGUAAAGCUCUUUCGGCGGGGAAGAAAACGCACUGGUUAAUACCCAGUGCGGAUGACGGUACCCGCAUAAGAAGCACCGGCUAACUACGUGCCAGCAGCCGCGGUAAUACGUAGGGUGCGAGCGUUAAUCGGAAUUACUGGGCGUAAAGCGUGCGCAGGCGGUUUCGUAAGACAGACGUGAAAUCCCCGGGCUCAACCUGGGAACUGCGUUUGUGACUGCGAGGCUAGAGUGUAGCAGAGGGGGGGUGGAAUUCCACGUGUAGCAGUGAAAUGCGUAGAGAUGUGGAGGAACACCAAUGGCGAAGGCAGCCCCCUGGGUUAACACUGACGCUCAUGCACGAAAGCGUGGGGAGCAAACAGGAUUAGAUACCCUGGUAGUCCACGCCCUAAACGAUGUCAACUAGGUGUUGGGAGGGUUAAACCUUUUAGUACCGCAGCUAACGCGUGAAGUUGACCGCCUGGGGAGUACGGCCGCAAGGUUAAAACUCAAAGGAAUUGACGGGGACCCGCACAAGCGGUGGAUGAUGUGGAUUAAUUCGAUGCAACGCGAAAAACCUUACCUAC